rnacentral:antisense_RNA from 1 species
CUUCGACGAACCCACCAGGAGAGGCCGUUCGGCGGACCGCUGCUGCCCGUACGUGGCGAGCAGAGCCUGCGCCUC